rnacentral:rRNA from 1 species
AUGAACGUUGGCGGCGUGGAUUAGGCAUGCAAGUCGAGCGAGAACCCCGCAAGGGGGGACAGCGGCGCAAGGGACAGUAAUGUGUAGAUCAUCUGCCCUCGGGUCCGGGAUAGCUGCGGGAAACUGCAGGUAAUACCGGUUAACAUCUCCGGAUCAAAGGUGUGAUUCCGCCUGAGGAUGAGUCUACAUCCUAUUAGCUAGUUGGUAGGGUAACGGCCUACCAAGGCGAUGAUGGGUAGCGGGUGUGAGAGCACGACCCGCGUCAUUGGGACUGAGACACUGCCCAGACACCUACGGGUGGCUGCAGUCGAGAAUCUUCGGCAAUGGGCGCAAGCCUGACCGAGCGACGCCGCGUGUGGGAUGAAGGCCUUCGGGUUGUAAACCACUGUCAGAGGGGAUGAAACGGUCGGCUUUAAUAAAGUCGGCUAAUGACGGUACCUGCAGAAGAAGCACCGGCUAACUACGU